rnacentral:lncRNA from 1 species
AAGUUGGCAAAUGUGCCAGAUGGUUCUUUUCUUGUUCGGGAUAGUUCUGAUGACCGUUACCUUUUAAGCUUGAGCUUUCGCUCCCAUGGUAAAACACUUCACACUAGAAUUGAGCACUCAAAUGGUAGGUUCAGCUUUUAUGAACAGCCAGAUGUGGAAGGGCAUACAUCUAUAGUUGACUUAAUCGAGCAUUCAAUCAGGGACUCUGAAAAUGGAGCAUUUUGUUAUUCAAGGUCUCGGUUACCUGGAUCAGCAACUUACCCAGUCAGACUGACCAAUCCAGUGUCACGGUUCAUGCAGGUGCGCUCUCUGCAGUAUCUGUGCCGCUUUGUUAUACGACAGUACACCAGAAUAGACUUAAUUCAGAAACUGCCUUUGCCAAACAAAAUGAAGGAUUAUUUGCAGGAGAAGCACUACUGAGAGAUUGGGAGCCCUCUUUCUUGCACUUUGGGGUUGAGAAACAAGACUUGAGUACAGUUUACAGACUUACAUCACCAUUGAAGUCUUUGCUGCCAUAACUUUUAGUUUUUAUGUGUGAGAGUCAUCGAUUUGUUCAGGGGUGGGGAAGUGUCUGCAAGGUGUCCUGAGUUUAUUUUGGUUCUUGGAAAGGGAUGGAUGUCUUGAGGGUCUAGAAGUGUGAGUUACCUUUCCUUAAUGUGCAGAAUAAUCACAAUGUGAAUGACCAGAUUCUCCUUAAUGCCCCUCCCCAGUCCUUUGCUGCUAUCCACUGUGAUUCUUAUGCAUUAAAGCACAUUUCAUGUGUAUUCAACCCUAAGUAAAGUUGAAUGAAAUUUUAAGAAAUACAAAUUGCUAUGACGUUAAAUGACCCAGUUGAAUAAACAUGUGGGAUAAACAUUUACAUAUACACUGAAAAGUGAUUUUUUAAGUCUCACACUUUAAAAAUGAUUUGUCCAGAAUUAUAAAUUAAUACAAUGUUGAUAAAUGGAAUUCAGAUUUGCAACAUCUUUUACAACACUUUUCUAAAUUAUAUUUUAAGGAUGUGAUAAUUGUUUUGGUUGUGAGAAGUUGAAUUUUUCUGUUGCCUUCAUUUUCAUCUUGUGGUUUGUCUCUUUUGAUAAAUUGCCUUACAUUAAAAAUUGUAAACAAAUAUAUACCCAAUUUAGAAA